CGUGCCUAAUACAUGCAAGUCGAGCGGAAUGAUGGGAGCUUGCUCCCUGAUUUUAGCGGCGGACGGGUGAGUAACACGUGGGCAACCUACCUUGUAGAUUGGGAUAACUCCGGGAAACCGGGGCUAAUACCGAAUAAUCCAUUUUGCUUCAUGGCAAAAUGUUAAAAGGCGGCUUCGGCUGUCACUACGAGAUGGGCCCGCGGCGCAUUAGCUAGUUGGUAGGGUAACGGCCUACCAAGGCAACGAUGCGUAGCCGACCUGAGAGGGUGAUCGGCCACACUGGGACUGAGACACGGCCCAGACUCCUACGGGAGGCAGCAGUAGGGAAUCUUCCACAAUGGACGAAAGUCUGAUGGAGCAACGCCGCGUGAGUGAAGAAGGUUUUCGGAUCGUAAAACUCUGUUGUAAGGGAAGAACACGUACGAGAGUA
rnacentral:rRNA from 1 species